CAGCAGCCGGGUAAUACGUAGGGUGCGAGCGUUAAUCGGAAUUACUGGGCGUAAAGGGUGCGUAGGUGGUUUGAUAAGUUAUCUGUGAAAUCCCUGGGCUUAACCUGGGCAGGUCAGAUAAGACUGUUGGACUCGAGUAUAGGAGAGGGUAGUGGAAUUUCCGGUGUAGCGGUGAAAUGCGUAGAGAUCGGAAGGAACACCAGUGGCGAAGGCGGCUACCUGGCCUGAUACUGACACUGAGGCACGAAAGCGUGGGGAGCAAACAGGAUUAGAUACCCGUGUAGUCCCUGUCUCUUAUACA
rnacentral:rRNA from 1 species